AUUGAACGCUGGCGGCAGGCCUAACACAUGCAAGUCGAGCGGAUGAGAGGAGCUUGCUCCUUGAUUUAGCGGCGGACGGGUGAGUAAUGCCUAGGAAUCUGCCUGGUAGUGGGGGAUAACGUCCGGAAACGGGCGCUAAUACCGCAUACGUCCUACGGGAGAAAGCAGGGGACCUUCGGGCCUUGCGCUAUCAGAUGAGCCUAGGUCGGAUUAGCUAGUUGGUGAGGUAAUGGCUCACCAAGGCGACGAUCCGUAACUGGUCUGAGAGGAUGAUCAGUCACACUGGAACUGAGACACGGUCCAGAGUCCUACGGGAGGCAGCAGUGGGGAAUAUUGGACAAUGGGCGAAAGCCUGAUCCAGCCAUGCCGCGUGUGUGAAGAAGGUCUUCGGAUUGUAAAGCACUUUAAGUUGGGAGGAAGGGCAGUAAGCUAAUACCUUGCUGUUUUGACGUUACCGACAGAAUAAGCACCGGCUAACUUCGUGCCAGCCGCCGCGGUAAGAC
rnacentral:rRNA from 1 species